GUGCUCGCUUCAGCAGCAUAUAUACUAAAGUUGGAAGAAUACAGAGAAGAUUAGCAUGGCCCCUGCACAAGGAUGACAUGCCAAUUUGUGAAGCAUUCCAUAUUUUU
ensembl:snRNA U6 U6 spliceosomal RNA